ACUGUCCAAAUCAAGAUAAGUCACGAGCACUCAUUUCACAACUCUUUCUACUGAAUGUGGAAAUUAAUUGGAUGUUUUUUCGUCCUCUGGGUGCCUUGUCUUUCACCUAGAAAACUUGAUAAUGGGGCCUAAGUUCCAGCAUGGUGAAAGUUUUGCACUAAAUGAAUUCUAGGAAUGAAUCUUAACAAAUUGCCAUAACCUAGUUUUAGGCUUGAGAAUAUUGAGCUCUCCUCUUUUUAGGGAGGGCAUGACUGUACUUUCAUAGUGCUACAACUUUUUGUGGAGGGUAUGAAGUGUUCCAUAAGAACUGUUGCUGAAGUGGUCCAUAUAAACCUCAGUAUGGUUCCAUGGUCACAUAUGUGUUGCCUUUUAUCUUUGCAACCAAAUAGCAUUGUGGUCUAUUGGGGGAUAACCACUCUCCUGGUGUGCUGCUUAUUUUCAUCACCACCUUGCUCUGAUACUAGUCUUUCUGGAUUCAAAUCUUUUCCCUAUUUGACAUAAAAGUGAUUAUCGUCACUAGAUGGCAGCAUCUACUUCUUACCCUUCUGACUAGAUGAGCCUUUGUCAUUACAAUAUUUUCUUUCCCUAAAUUUUAUAUUUUAUUAUUGGUUUCCCUCUCAACAUUUCUUUUUGGAUCUUUUAAGCCAGUGAAUACUUUUGUGAAUGCUAUGCAGGACAUGUCAUGAUAGAAACCCAAAUCAGUUUCUUUAGGUGCCAUGUAGAAUUGGCAAACAUCACUGGCCACCUAAUCAAAAUGGGCACUGUGGUAUCUAGUCUGAGAGUUUCCAUUCAGUUUUCAAAAAGACUAGUUAACUGUAACUCAGACUGAAGUUAAAAGUUUCCAAACAGUAUUGCAGUAUGAUUCUGCUAUUACAUGGUUAAUUUAAGUUCCCCUUUUUGUUUAGUUCCCAGAACUCUGGAGCAGAUUUGAGUUGUUCCACGUCCCACGAAGUGUGGUGACUCUGGAAAGUCUCCUUGUGAGCAUUUGUGGUGUGUGAAAUGUAACCAACAUCCUGAUUUUCAGAGAUGACAACCCCCUUUGACCUCCUCAGAAAGUUAAGUGCUUUAGCUACUUGGCACUUCGAAUAUUAAGCCAAUAUUCAAUAUUCUCUCUUUCUCCAAAGGUUUGCCAGCAGCCUGAUAGCUUUCUAUUAAGCAGUUCAUUGGUUUUCUUUUUUUCCCCAUGUUUUCACCUCCUUUCUAGAUGGAAUUCCUGUAUCGUGCAAGUUAUACCUCAUCUUCAGCGUAGGCUUCCGUCAUAUUGCAACUUCCUUGCUUCAUCCCUUAGUGGAGUAAUUGUUAAGUAAAGAGCAGCUAAAGCAAUUGUCAGUUGGAAUGGAAUGGCCUCAGAAUCCACAGCAUCUGACUACUUAAGGGCAAAUGCAAGGGAAUCCGAGAACGCAAGACAAUUUAAAAAUGCAGCCCCCCUGAAGACUACCUGCAGGUUACCAGGAUGGACAUGAGCUGACAGCACAGUCAGACCCAUGUGGCCUUCUGGCAGUAGACAGCCCCAGGAAGCUGCCGCUACCUGCGUGGACCCCUGCGCCUGCCCUGAACAGCCAGGAUGUCCAUCUGGGCCAUGCUGCUCCUGGCUCCCCAGGGGGCCUCUGUUUGCCAGGGGCCCCGUCAGCCCUUAAUCUGCUCUGGUUAAUGCAAGGAAUCAAUAAACACUUGGCCACCUUG